rnacentral:rRNA from 1 species
AUACGUAGGGGGCGAGCGUUGUCCGGAAUAAUUGGGCGUAAAGGGCGCGUAGGCGGCUUUGCAAGUCAGUAGUGGAAGUCCAUUUUUCAAGGAUGGAAGUGCUACAGAAACUGCGGAGCUUGAGUGCAGGAGAGGUUAUCGGAAUUCCCGGUGUAGCGGUGAAAUGCGUAGAGAUCGGGAGGAACACUAGUGGCGAGGGCGGGUAACUGGACUGCAACUGACGCUGAGGCGCGAAAGUGUGGGGAGCAAACAGGAUUAGAUACCCUGGUAGUCCACACUGUAAACGAUGAAUGCUAGGUGUAGGAGGUAUCGACCCCUUCUGUGCCGCAGUAAACACAGUAAGCAUUCCGCCUGGGGAGUACGGUCGCAAGAUUAAAACUCAAAGGAAUUGACGGGG